ACGUCCAUACCACGCUGAACACACCGGUUCUCGUCCGAUCACCGAAGUUAAGCAGCGUCGGGCGCGGUCAGUGCUUCGAUAUGACCGCCUGGGAACACCGCGUGAUGUUG
rnacentral:rRNA from 1 species